AAUCAACGCUGGCGGCGUGCCUCAGACAUGCAAGUCGAACGCGAAAUUUCCCUUCGGGGAGAAAGUAGAGUGGCGCACGGGUGAGUAACACGUAGGUAAUCUGCCUUUGGGCGGGGAAUAACUCAGGGAAACUUGAGCUAAUACCGCAUAAUGCAGCGGCUCGACAUCGAGACAGUUGUUAAAGCGGGGGAUCGCAAGACCUCGCGCCUGAAGAGGAGCCUGCGGCAGAUUAGGUAGUUGGUGAGGUAAUGGCUCACCAAGCCUGCGAUCUGUAGCCGGCCUGAGAGGGCGGUCGGGCCACACUGACACUGACAUACGGGUCAGACUCCUACGGGAGGCAGCAGUCGGGAAUUUUGGGCAAUGGGCGAAAGCCUGACCCAGCAACGCCGCGUGAAGGAUGAAAUCCCUCGGGAUGUAAACUUCGCAAGAACGGGAAGAAUAAGUAGAAGAUAAUACCUU
rnacentral:rRNA from 1 species